UACGUAGGGGGCAAGCGUUGUCCAGAAUCAUUGGGCGUAAAGCGCGUGUAGGCGGCCCGGUAAGUCCGCUGUGAAAGUCCAGGGCUCAACCCUGGAAUGCCGGUGGAUACUGCCGGACUAGAGUUCGGAAGAGGCGAGUGGAAUUCCCGGUGUAGCGGUGAAAUGCGCAGAUAUCGGGAGGAACUCCAAUGGCGAAGGCAGCUCGCUGGGACGUUACUGACGCUGAGACGCGAAAGCGUGGGGAGCAAACAGG
rnacentral:rRNA from 1 species